rnacentral:lncRNA from 1 species
CUGAUGCUAGCUCCCUGUUAGCUGUUAGCUGGACUACGAUCGUAUUAAAGGUUGAAGGAGCGGAUGAUUUAUUAUUAGCGUCUCUUUUCUCGUCUGUACUUGUUCAUGUACAACAGUCACAGGUCUGCUAGUCGUCGCUGGUGCUGACCUGUUUGUUGACUUUAAGCUCUCACAACAAGGCAAAAGAUAUAAAAAGUAAUGAGGACAUAAUGAAGUAUAAAAGCUUAACUGUAACUCUCAGCUAAAUACAUUGACUCAAAUACUUCACUUCAGGACACAUUUAAGGGCAGAGCAACGUGUAGCGUGUGUACAGUAAAUACAGCCGACUGUUAGCUGAGAAUAAAUCAAGGCGACAACGAUAACCUCCAUCUUUAAUUUGAGGGUGUUCACAUCACAUCAGAAAAAACAGCAGGAACAGUCUCUCAUGUUUCUGUUCUGUCAUGUUUCUGUGUAACAGAGAUGUCGGAUACUUCAGAGAAAAAGUGGAAACCAACUCUGACUAAAAUCCUGGAGGAGCUGGACAACAAACAGUACAGAAAGACAAUGGAAUAUUUGGACAAAGUUCCCAAAGGUCAGAAGAAAGGCAGAUCUUUUGCAACGAUGGCCCAAAAAAUAAUUGAGCGCUACGGACAUGACGAAUCAAUUUCUACAAUACAUAAAAUCAUGGAAGAGAUACCGAGGAAGGAUCCGAGGAUGCAGGAACUGUUGGGCCCCUUUGUUGAAGAACUGAGGAGCAAAAAUGAAAAAGGGAGAAAAGGAAAGAAGAGAAAGUGUGAUCCAGUGGAGAAGGAAGACAAUCCUCCAGCAGGGAAGAAGAAUAAAUGUGAUCAAGCGGAGGAGGAAAAUAAGCCUGCAGAAGGUACGAAGGUUUCACCAGCUGUAAGAUCUGGUCCCAACAUCUCUUUACACUUGUUUGUGUCAUUUUUUAGAUAUUUAACAAUAGAAAACUCUGAUUAAUGUCAAACAGGGUCUCACUUUUGUAGCUUUUAU